AUGGUUGGUGGGCUGGAAGUGGGUUGGGGGAUGAGCCUCCUGGGAUUUGGGUUGUGUCGAGCCUUACCGCCUGGUGUGUUGGGUAACCUUCACGCCAGGGGGGGGGUGCCAAGACCAUAUCCAUCUCCUGGGCAGGGCGAUUCCCCUUUCCCAUGCCAACUGGCCCUCCUCCGUCUGCCUCCCCAAACCCCCGCUAAGUGCUUGUGUGUGUUAUUUUAUUUAGGAUGUCUUUUUUUUCUAUGCCUUUUUCCCGUGUGUUUAUACCCAAUAGCUAGCGUGUGUGUGUGUGGCAGUCCGGAGGCGCGUGCAGCGAGGACAUCACAUCACGUCACUACGGUAUAUCCACGGUAUUUGGUUUAGUGUGUGCUGUGUGUGUUUGUGUGUGUGAUGGCAGGCCUGCCGUGUGUUUGACCUUUUGCUGUGUGUUGCUGUGUGACUGCUAGGAUUUCAUUUCUAUGUAUGUUUUUUUCCCCAUAACCCCCUUCCUCCCUAGCUCUUUAGCUGUUGUCCCUGCUGGGUGGAUGCUGCCGGGCGACCAACGGCGGUGGCGGUGUGCAACGCGGGAGCUGCUGAGGUUUGGGGUAGCACUACGGUGCAGGUUAUGUAGGGUGUGUGAGUUUUUUUUUUGUGUGAGUGUCUUUUUUUUGUGUGGGGUGUUGGCGGGGGACUUAGCUAAUCACUGUGUCAGGAAGGCAUGGGCGUGGCCGUCUGUCCAUCAGGCCGACGGGCGGGUGUGCCACCUGGCAGUCAGGCUAGCAGGUGACAGGCAAGCUAUCUGGUGGUCAGGCUGUAAGUCGGGCCAUCAGAUAGGUAGGCAGGCCACCUUGCGGUCGGGUUGUCGGGCGGGCACCCCACCCUCGGUCAGGUAGGCAGGCAGCAGCGUCUACGCUGAACCGUACGGCCACACGUACGAACGCACGGAACCCGUACGCUACGUUCCGCCGCACUGACGCUCGUCGUACCUCUGCUCGCACGCUUGCGGGCGGGUAGGGGGCGGGGGGCGGAUGGGCGGACGGGGGGGCGUACGUGGGAACGGGCGGGCGGACGGGUGGUCGGGCGGGUAGGGAGUCGGAGCAACGCUUGAAAGACGCGCAGAUAGAUGUCAGAUUCUCCCGUAGGGAGGUCUGGCAAGGUGUUAGUUUAGGCGGCGGAGUUGUACGCAGGCCAGUCUGUGUUACAGCUUUGCCGUCAGGGUAGCUCCUUACGAGCUGCCCAAACUGAGGACCAGUUUUCCUCACAGGAGGAGGCUGGUGGGGCCUAGGGUGUUAGGGGUACGACGGUUGGCUCUUUCACAGAACGGGUGUUUUCCGUUCUGCGUUUGAGUCUGCCGCCUUUGGGCGUCUCCCUCUGAGAUGUCGGUUAGGAUUUCUUUUUUUUAUAUGUCCGUGUGUGUAACUGUUGCCUUUUAGCCUGUUGUGUUCCUGAGCAGCAAGAAGAGGCGGCUGUGGUGACCCGCCCGAUGCGGAAGGCUUCUGGGCCCUGUCGGCGGGGGCGCACCUCUCUGGCUGACUGGUUGACCAGGCUUUGACCAGGUGGCCGGGGAGGCGCAUCCUCGCUGGGCGGGGUCUGGGGGCCCUCCGUCUUGGGGAGGUCGCUGCAGCAGGAGGAGGUAACUACUGCUGGUUUUGUAAGGCAUUGUGGUUGAGAGCACCUUGCAGCUGUAACGCGAAUUUCGUUCCGUAAUAAACAAUGUACCGCCAUGCUGCCUGUCCUUCCUCCCUCCCAGCACUGUGUGCGUCUGUGUGUGUGUGUGUGUGUUGCUUAAUUCUCCCUCCCAGCACUGUGUACGUCUGUGUGUGUGUGUUGCUUAAUUCUCCCUCACUGCACUGUGCGUACGUCUGUGUGUGUGUGUUGCUUAAUUCUCCCUCACUGCACUGUGCGUACGUCUGUGUGUGUGUGUUGCUCUGUCUCUGUCUCUCUCUCUCAAUCUCUCUCUCUGUCUCUGUCUCUCUCUGUCUGUCUCUCUAUCUCUCAAUCUCUCUCUGUGUCUUUCUCUCUCUCUAGUUAGUAAAGAACGGGCAACGUUUGCCAUGGAAGACUCUACAGUAUAAGACUCUACAGUAUACAUAAGACUACAGUGUACAUCCCAACCCUCUACGGCCGUUGCUGCUCCACCCGGGCAUUACCACAUCCACCCGGGUCUACAAGAAACCUCCACGGCCGAGCCUCAACCACAGAACACACCGCUACGGUUCAUGAGGUUCCACGCCCCGGACUACCGCCAUGUUAGCCUCCAUAAUAGUCCUCGGCGCACUUGUUCUGAGACGUCCUGACUGGAGAGCUACACAACACUGGUCAUCCGCUGAGUGGUUGAAUUCCUGGUCUACCGGCCCCUGGAGGAGUGGUCGGUUGCCUGGUCUACUGUGGAUAUGAGUGGUUGAUUCCCUGGUCUACCCCUGGAUGACGCAGCUGUUCCUAUGCAGGGGAGGACUCACACAAGCAAUAAGCACCUGUCAGACCUGGAGACUCCCCCCUGAGCCUGACCGUGGAGCUGUGGGCCCUGCACCAGACCCCCAAUCCCCCCACACCACCCACAGCAGGGGCAGGGUGUUGAGACUCCCCCCACAGGCUAAGACAGGGAGGGACUUGAAGAUCCAGGUUUUUGUCAUCUGCACAGAAAUUGACACAUGACCCGCUGCGUGUUCUGCUGGAGAAAAACACUGCAUGACUGUUGUUGGGAGGAGACACAGCAUGAAGGCUUCCAGGAGCUGCAAGACAUCCUUGUGGUCAGGGCGCCUGGUCAUUAUGAUGGAGCGUCGGCAGAGAUCGAGCUGGCUGAAGGUUGGCGGCCAGGUCAAGCUCGCCUCGGACAAGGAGUUCUGUGAGAUGUGCUCGGCCGAUGUUGCUGACCUUGAAUACAUCAAUCUUACUAAGGUGGUGGAGGUGUGGAGACUACAUCUACAUUGACGACGGACUCAAGGAGAUCGCCGAGACUACUACUAUUACUAUUACCAUUACUACACUAUACUACUAUGUGUACUAUUAAAUCCUCUAUA